CUGCAAAAUAUUUGUUCGCUGCCUUAAAAUAAUGUAACUUCACUUUUUAUAUCCUAUUAUUUUUUCCUCAAAGUUGGCGAAGAUAUUUUUAUUUCAUUAUUUACUUUUUGCGCAAAAGAAAUACUAUAUUAAAAAAAAAAAAAAAAAAAAAAAAAAACGCACAAAGGCCAUGCGUUUCGUACCCACGCCCGGACAACAAACAUACUGUCCAGAAAGCCACAGUGUUGCUCUUUCCCAGGAAUAUAAUAACACGACAUUUUAGUAAUGAAUCAAACCAUAUAUCAUAUUUAAGAGAAAAUCGAUUUUGGUUUGUGCAGAGC
rnacentral:lncRNA from 1 species